rnacentral:miRNA from 1 species
AAAUGCGUCAUGACUUUCCCA